rnacentral:rRNA from 1 species
UACGUAGGGUGCGAGCGUUGUCCGGAAUUAUUGGGCGUAAAGAGCUUGUAGGCGGUUUGUCGCGUCUGCCGUGAAAAUCCGGGGCUCAACCCCGGACUUGCAGUGGGUACGGGCAGACUAGAGUGUGGUAGGGGAGACUGGAAUUCCUGGUGUAGCGGUGAAAUGCGCAGAUAUCAGGAGGAACACCGGUGGCGAAGGCGGGUCUCUGGGCCGUAACUGACGCUGAGGAGCGAAAGCAUGGGGAGCGAACAGG